AAAGCAUUUAUGCGCUUUAGGAAUGGCCUGCGUACGAUUAGAUAGUUGGUGAGGUAAAGGCUCACCAAGUCGACGAUCGUUAGAUGGUUUGAGAGGAUGAUCAUCCAGACUGGGACUGAGACACGGCCCAGACUCCUACGGGAGGCAGCAGUGGGGAAUAUUGCACAAUGGGCGAAAGCCUGAUGCAGCAACGCCGCGUGAAGGAAGACGGUUUUCGGAUUGUAAACUUCUGUUCUUAGUGAAGAAAAAUGACGGUAGCUAAGGAGCAAGCCACGGCUAACUACGUGCCAGCAGCCGCGGUAAUACGUAGGUGGCAAGCGUUGUCCGGAAUUACUGGGUGUAAAGGGAGCGUAGGCGGGAAACCAAGUCAGCUGUGAAAACUACGGGCUUAACCUGUAGACUGCAGUUGAAACUGGUUUUCUUGAGUGAAGUAGAGGUUGGCGGAAUUCCGAGUGUAGCGGUGAAAUGCGUAGAUAUUCGGAGGAACACCGGUGGCGAAGGCGGCCAACUGGGCUUUAACUGACGCUGAGGCUCGAAAGUGUGGGGAGCAAACAGGAUUAGAUACCCUGGUAGUCCACACUGUAAACGAUGAUAACUAGGUGUGGGGGGUCUGACCCCUUCCGUGCCGCAGCUAACGCAAUAAGUUAUCCACCUGGGGAGUACGACCGCAAGGUUGAACUCAAGGAAUUGACGGGGACCCGCACAAGCAGUGGAUUAUGUGGUUUAAUUCGAAGCAACGCGAGAACCUUACAGCACUUGACAUCACUACGAAUAGAGAUAUAUUAGUGCCCUUCGGGAAA
rnacentral:rRNA from 1 species